CUGAAGAUGGCGGACCCCACUUUUGCUGGUACCACUAAUGGCACAUCUUUGCGGGGUCUACGUGAACGAUUGGUUGCCGUAGCUCAAGAACUAGCUGAAGAAAGGAGACGUAAACGUGGUCUUGAGUCUUCUGCAGUUUCACUUAAGAAAUCGUCAUGUACACCUGUUUUAGAUGGUUCUGUCCUUAAAAAUGAUGUCAAACAGCAGCUAGCCAAGGAACGCAGAGAAGAACAGAAACGUCAGCAAGAGGCCAACAAGGAAAAACAACUGCUUGAGAAAGAACAGAAGGCGAAGCUGCAGUACGAAAAACAGUUGGAAGAAAAACACCGCAAGCUGAAGGAACAAAAGGAAAAGGACGAACGACGACGAGCAUCUGCAGAAGAAAAAAGGAAACAGAAGCAGGCAGAAGACAAAGAAAAAUUUAAGGCUGUUGUGUCUCGUACAAUGGAGCGAUGCAAUCUCAUUGAUAAACGUCAGAAAAGGUGGUCGUGGGAGGGUAGUGUGAUGAAUACUGACAAAUCUGGAAAACCGGAAAAUAAACGAAGCUCCUCUAUGAGUAGAAAAGAAAACCAAUUGCAGACCAGUGGUGAUUUGCAACAUGUGAACAACAGACCAAG
rnacentral:lncRNA from 1 species